AUUGAACGCUGGCGGCAGGCCUAACACAUGCAAGUCGAGCGAGCGGCGGACGGGUGAGUAAUGUCUGGGAAACUGCCUGAUGGAGGGGGAUAACUACUGGAAACGGUAGCUAAUACUGCAUACCAUCAGAUGUGCUCAGAUGGGAUUAGCUAGUUGGUGAGGUAACGGCUCACCUAGGCGACGAUCCCUAGCUGGUCUGAGAGGGUGAACAGCCACACUGGAACUGAGACACGGUCCAGACUCCUACGGGAGGCAGCAGUGGGGAAUAUUGCACAAUGGGCGAAAGCCUGAUGCAGCCAUGCCGCGUGUGUGAAGAAGGCCUUCGGGUUGUAAAGCACUUUCAUCAGGGAGGCGUUACCCGCAGAAGAAGCACCGGCUAACUCCGUGCCAGCAGCCGCGGUAAUUC
rnacentral:rRNA from 1 species